GAAGCCGCUCGCGGAGACGCGGCUCGGGGCUGCCGAGGCUGCUCUGCCCGCCGCCGCCCCGUGACCCGCGCUCCCACGAGAAGAGCUUCGUUCCCGCGUGUCUGAGCGGGGGGUCUCCCGUCCUUCCUCCCCCCUGCUCCAGCCCUCUGAGUGAGUGGCAGAAAGGCACGCCCCGGGGCAUUUGGCAGCGUCUUAGGGUCGGGUCACCCAAGAUGAGCGGCUGAUGGCCAGGAGGGGAAGGAAGUUCCUUUGGAAGCCAGACACGGGUGCUGUCCAGCUUGGCCCAAGGACCUGGUCAGAGAGCAGGUCUGCCUUCUUGUGGACAGUGCGGAGACAAGUACCUUGGGACCCUCAGACACGGAAGCAGCCCUGCCCCUCUGGAGCUCGGGGAGGAACCGCCGGGGGUUGAGCUGCCACUGCUCAAAGCAGAGGGGGCAGCAGCUGAAAUUCAGAGCCUGAGGAAAAUAGCCUCCCUGUGAAGGACCAUGCACCAGUCCCUGUGGCCUGUCUCUCCUCUCGUUCACCCUAGCAAACUGCUGGCUCACCAAUUCUGCUUAUGUCCCCUCAAUAUGGCUUCUUCUUAACUCCAGCCUAAGGGUUCUUCCUCUUUCCUUCAACAGAAGUGAACAGGCAGUAGUGAAUGGGGACUGCAUGCCAGGCGCUCUUUUCCUGUGUUAGCUCAGCCCCAUGCUUUGCCGCCAGGAUGCCUUUGUGUAGGCAGACCCUCACCCAUUUCUUCCUCCUUCAGUGUCAAACCCCAUCACUUUGUUCUUCAAGAAACUCUCCUGAAUGUCCCGUCCUCACCUGAGUCUUUGUACUUAAAAAUUCAAUAAAUACUUAUGACUUGAAUUGAUUCAGGAGCUGCA